rnacentral:tRNA from 1 species
GGAGGAGUGGCAGAGUGGUCGAAUGCACUGGUCUUGAAAACCAGCGUGGGUUAACGCCUACCGUGGGUUCGAAUCCCACCUCCUCCGCCA